rnacentral:lncRNA from 1 species
GCUACAGGACAGUAGCUGGUGGAGGAAUCCUGAGGGUGCUAUAUGGUGAUAGGAUUGUGCUGGAGGGAAAGAAGGAGAGCAGAGGAUAUUAUUACCUGACGGAAAGCCCAGUGCGAGGUGGAGCUUCGGGAGUCAAGUAGAGUCCAGAGCAAUGUGGAGCUCCAGGUGGAGGUGGAUCGAGCACGAGACAGGAGACUUGAGAGGCGAUGUCGCAAGAUGAGAUUCCUAUUGCCACAGGAUGAUGCCUCGAGUAGAUCUCAGGUCA